rnacentral:rRNA from 1 species
UACGGAGGGUGCAAGCGUUAUCCGGAUUACUGGGUUUAAAGGGUGCGUAGGUGGGUAGGUAAGUCAGUGGUGAAAUCUUCGAGCUUAACUCGGAAACUGCCAUUGAUACUAUUUAUCUUGAAUACUUUGGAGGUAAGCGGAAUAUGUCAUGUAGCGGUGAAAUGCUUAGAUAUGACAUAGAACACCAAUUGCGAAGGCAGCUUACUACACAGUUAUUGACACUGAGGCACGAAAGCGUGGGGAUCAAACAGG